rnacentral:rRNA from 1 species
ACGAYCCCUAGCUGGUCUGAGAGGAUGACCAGCCACACUGGAACUGAGACACGGUCCAGACCCCUACGGGAGGCAGCAGUGGGGAAUAUUGCACAAUGGGCGCAAGCCUGAUGCAGCCAUGCCGCGUGUGUGAAGAAGGCCUUCGGGUUGUAAAGCACUUUCAGCGAGGAGGAAGGGUUCRGUGUUAAUAGCACUGUUCAUUGACGUUACUSGCAGAAGAAGCACCGGCUAACUCCGUGCCAGCAGCCGCGGUAAUACGGAGGGUGCAASCGUUAAUCGGAAUUACUGGSCGUAAAGCGCACGCAGGCGGUUUGUUAAGUCAGAUGUGAAAUCCCCGAGCUUAACUUGGGAACUGCAUUUGAAACUGGCAAGCUAGAGUCUUGUAGAGGGGGGUAGAAUUCCAGGUGUAGCGGUGAAAUGCGUAGAGAUCUGGAGGAAUACCGGUGGCGAAGGCGGCCCCCUGGACAAAGACUGACGCUCAGGUGCGAAAGCGUGGGGAGCAAACAGGAUUAGAUACCCUGGUAGUCCACGCUGUAAACGAUGUCGACUUGGAGGUUGUGCCCUUGAGGCGUGGCUUCCGGACUAACGCGUUAAGUCGACCGCCUGGGG